rnacentral:rRNA from 1 species
UACGGGGGGGGUAAGCGUUGUUCGGAAUUACUGGGCGUAAAGGGCGCGUAGGCGGCCGCCUAAGUCAGACGUGAAAUCCCUCGGCUCAACCGGGGAACUGCGUCUGAUACUGGGUGGCUUGAAUCCGGGAGAGGGAUGCGGAAUUCCAGGUGUAGCGGUGAAAUGCGUAGAUAUCUGGAGGAACACCGGUGGCGAAGGCGGCAUCCUGGACCGGCAUUGACGCUGAGGCGCGAAAGCGUGGGGAGCGAACAGG